rnacentral:rRNA from 1 species
UACGUAGGGUGCAAGCGUUGUCCGGAAUUAUUGGGCGUAAAGAGCUCGUAGGCGGUUUGUCGCGUCUGCUGUGAAAACCCGAGGCUCAACCUCGGGCCUGCAGUGGGUACGGGCAGACUAGAGUGCGGUAGGGGAGAUUGGAAUUCCUGGUGUAGCGGUGGAAUGCGCAGAUAUCGGGAAGAACACCCGUGGCGAAGGCGGUUCUCUGGGACGGUACUGACGCUGAGACGCGAAAAGCGUGGGGGAGCGAACAGG